UUUUUAGUUAUCUUGUUAUUUGUUUCCCCUAUACUGCGUGCUGGUAUUUCGGUCAUUGGUUAUUUGUUUGUGUUAAACUAUAUUAUUAUUUAAGUGAACGGUGAGUAUAAAAUGAGAUAUGAUUAUUGCAUAGUUGAUUGUGAUGCUAAUGAAAAUCUGUAUAGGAAAGACCCGAAAAAGGGCAGACUGACCCGGUAUAUAGGAAACCCUACAGUGAACGUUACUUUAGUCGGACGGGACUGGAAAAUCCCUUACCAGUAAGGUUUAAGAGAUAUGGUUCACCUUCAUAUCGGAUAGGAUAUCGAGGUGGUGAAAUAUUUGGCGCUCAUUACUGGACGGGGUAUGGUGACGACUGGUUAAUUGUCUAAUUGGAUAUUAGGUUCACGAGUAGGAGGACAUCCCUAUGGACCCCAGUGGUACCAGUAAGUGAGUAAAAAUAUAAAAUGAUCGUUUCU
rnacentral:lncRNA from 1 species